CUUUCCCUCUUUCUUUAGGCCUAACACAUGCAAGUCGAACGGCAGCACAGUAAGAGCUUGCUCUUACGGGUGGCGAGUGGCGGACGGGUGAGGAAUACAUCGGAAUCUACUUUUUCGUGGGGGAUAACGUAGGGAAACUUACGCUAAUACCGCAUACGACCUACGGGUGAAAGCAGGGGAUCUUCGGACCUUGCGCGAUUGAAUGAGCCGAUGUCGGAUUAGCUAGUUGGCGGGGUAAAGGCCCACCAAGGCGACGAUCCGUAGCUGGUCUGAGAGGAUGAUCAGCCACACUGGAACUGAGACACGGUCCAGACUCCUACGGGAGGCAGCAGUGGGGAAUAUUGGACAAUGGGCGCAAGCCUGAUCCAGCCAGACCGCGUGGGUGAAGAAGGCCUGCGGGUUGUAAAGCCCUUUUGUUGGGAAAGAAAAGCAGCAGGUUAAUACCCCGCUGUUCUGACGGUACCCAAAGAAUAAGCACCGGCUAACUGCGU
rnacentral:rRNA from 1 species